rnacentral:lncRNA from 1 species
CCACCCACUUGCUAGCCUUCCUGGCUGUGUCAUCAUAUGCUAAGCACUGCUGGAGUUAAUUGCCAUAUUCUUAUUUUGUGAACUGCUGGAGUUUCUUCCUCAUGCUGCCCAAUCGCAUUUUCCUUCUCACUAUGCUUUUGGCCUUCUGCAACCACGUACUCUCUGCAAAUCCAGGCUGAGAUUUGUUGAUUAGCCUCCUUUAUCAGCAAAAAUUACUCUGAUGUCUCUACUGUUUCAACCUUCCCGUCCACCGCCUCCUCAUGCAUAUUUUCCCUUGGCAGAACUGUCAUGAUCGAGAAAUUUUAUGAUACUACUGUAUGUACGUGCAUGGGACUUAACAUGAUCAGUUGGUGAAAGGAUUAAGCCUCAGGUAAAACACAAGCACUCCUUAAAAGCUUUCUUCUGUCAGAAAUCAGAGAUGGUUGCUAAUUAAUAAGGUAAGCAUUAAUUCAAGAUUCUUUCUCAAACAAGUUCCUACCUUGAUUCUUGUCUGAUGUAGUUGCUGUGAAUCUCUGCCAAGAAGAUGACAUUGAGCAUAUUGCGCAGUUGGGGUCGUGUGAUCCUACCAUGGCACCAACAUCACUUGUAAGUGAAAUAUAGAAGUUAAUAUAUAUCGAAGUAUUGUGAUCUAUUUGAUUCUUAUAAUUUUCACAUUUCUAUGCCUAGAUGCUGGUAGAGCUGCAAGAAAUUGCAACUAUUUGUAAGAAGAGAAAUAAUUGAAUGGGCAAAAUAAUUAAAAAAAAAUUUCUAUUUGAUAUUCUAAAAUUCAGAAAAUAGAGUUUACCGAAUGUAAACUUAGUCGGGGAGAAUUACGUUAUUCCUUCUUUUUUAUUCUCUAGUAACACAUAACCGCCACCCAGAUAUAACGGAUGAGUCAAAGUAUCCCUCUAUACCAGGUGGCUAUUUAAUUCCUCCCGGUAGGCUGCGAGGUGAUUGGGUUUGCUUCCCUUCGUGCGUGAUCAGUCCAAUUCACUUCACAUUAUAGGAAUGUUGGGCCGACCUACGUACAUGUGGUUUGAUAGGUUAUUCUUUUUCAGAGUUCAAUCUCGUCCCAAAAUGUGAGAAAUUCGGCGGUCAUCACUAUUUAAUCCCUAUAUUAUAAAAAAAUUCAUUGGUCAGUUUAUUGAUUUUAAAAAGUAAAUUAAAAUAUUUCUGAAGUUUUUAAAAGUAUAUUCAUUAAUACCUCUAUUAUUUUAUUAUUUUGUGUUAAAAAAAAUUUCAAAUAUUCUAAUACGAAAAGAUUAAUUAGUAAAUAUUUUUAUAAAACAAAAUCAACUAUUAAUAAUUUUUUUAAUGAAGAAAAUAAUUAAAAUAAUUAAUUAAUAGAUUUUUACAAUACCUCAUAAAUGUUUUAAUAUAUUUUUUAAAAUAAAAAAUCAACUGAUUAAAUUUUUCCAAACCAAAUAAACUAAACAGUGAAUUUUUCAAUAAUAAAUUAACAUACAUGGUGAGUAGGGUUAAGUAAUUGGAGAGAGAGAAUUAUAAAGAGAAACCAGGAAGAGAAAGAGAGAGAUUUAGAUUGAGUGCUGAGGCCUUCUCUUCCAAUUCCAUUUCCUUUUCUUCCUCCUCAUAAUCUAUGAUCCUUCUCUUAAUGUUGUUAUGUGGGUGACACAAGAGACUUAAAAAAUCAUGGCAGUUGUCCAAUCUUUGAAGUGGAGGUUGCUGUUCCUCAUCAUUUCUGCUUCUCUUUUUAUUUCUACUGUAUAUUGGAUGGAUCCCACACCCAAUAAUCUCCACUAAAUUUUCAUCAGUGGAGUGAAAUGAAGCCUCAACGAAACACUCUUCAUCAACAGAUUGAAGCUUAUUAUCACUGAACCAAAGCACUGCGUGUUCUGAUGAAUACUUAAAAUAAGACAGACGAUAACCAAAUAGAAAGAAAUCAUGGCUAUGUCUUUGUCCAGAUUUGCCCAUCAAAACCAUUCUGCAUGUGAUGCCCUUUCGAAGAUCAAAAUAAUAAUUUGUGGGAUCAACAACAGCUGUGGGAAUCACUGCGCAGAAAGAGAAGGCAAUUAAACGACAAGGGUCGAGUUUGAAUGAAAGAGAUGAUCCACUUCUGUUCUUGAAUCUCAUCGUUUCUGGUAUUUCACUUCCUGCCAUGUAUAAACUCGCUUUCUGACCCAACAGAUGUGCUUCAAAAACAUCCUCCAUUACUUUCUUCUUGUGUUUCAAAUUGAUGCAAUCUCCAAACACAAGAAAUUUGUCGUUUGCAAAAUAAUCUUCAUCUUCACUUUUAUCUGCUUCUUCUUCUUCUGCUUCACCAUCUUCAUCUUCAUCUUCAUCUUCAUGUUCUAGGAAAAGGAAUGAAGUUGAUGCAGAUUCCAGAGAGAUACAGUCUGAUGCGUUCACGUAUUCCAAACGUGGUGGAAGCUCUGGUAACCAUUUAAG